rnacentral:lncRNA from 1 species
GAUCAUGGCAAUUAAUUAGUUAUUGUUUUAGUACUUAAAAUUGUGAAAUCAAGAUGGGCUAAUUCAAGCAGCAAAUAUUAAAUAAAUUUAUGGUUUAUAGCCUCAUUAUAUUAGUAGUUUUUUUAUUUUAAGCCGGAAAAAAGUAAAUACAUAAAAUAUUUAUAUACCCGGAUCAAUAGAAUGCGGGUCCGCUGCACUAGCUAUUUGAUUUGAUAGACACCAAAUCUUGGUACCAUAACAACAAAUCCAAGAUGAAGAAAUCUUAAAAGAAGCAUCCCUUUGAGCAAACACAAAUAUAUGUGGAAUGUGAGUUCAGUGCAUGCACCUCUCAUCCUCUUAAAAUCUUCUUUUAAGCUUCGCCCACAGUACUUCCCUCUUUACACCAGAACAAUGACUAACAAAAGCAUGCAUUUCAUUUGUAAUCUAAUCUUUCCUUUCCAAGUCUUUUGAAUGAAAGGAAAUAUGUCGACCCCUACAU